rnacentral:rRNA from 1 species
UGGGGAAUCUUGCACAAUGGGGGAAACCCUGAUGCAGCGACGCCGCGUGAGCGAUGAAGCCCUUCGGGGUGUAAAGCUCUUUCGUCGGGGAAGAUAAUGACGGUACCCGGAGAAGCAGCUGCGGCUAACUACGUGCCAGCAGCCGCGGUAAUACGUAGGCAGCAAGCGUUGUUCGGAGUUACUGGGCGUAAAGGGUGCGUAGGCGGCUAUUUAAGUUUGGUGUGAAAUCUCCCGGCUCAACCGGGAGGGUGCGCCGAAUACUGAGUGGCUAGAGUGCGGGAGAGGAAAGUGGAAUUCCUGGUGUAGCGGUGAAAUGCGUAGAUAUCAGGAGGAACACCGGUGGUGUAAACGGCUUUCUGGACCGUAACUGACGCUGAGGCACGAAAGCGUGGGUAGCAAACA